AUACUUCCCCUCUAGGGGAGACACCAUGAUCACAAAGGUGGUUUUCCCAGGGUGAGGCUCAUCCGUUGCACUCCGGGUUUGCUGGCUCUGGUGAUUUCCCCAAAUGUGGGAAACUUGACUGCAUACUUCGCGGUAGUGUUUUAAAUGUUAUCUGUUUUUAUGGUU